rnacentral:rRNA from 1 species
AUUGAACGCUGGCGGCAUGCCUUACACAUGCAAGUCGAACGGUAGCGCGGGCUUCGGCCUGGCGACGAGUGGCGAACGGGUGAGUAAUAUAUCGGAACGUGCCCUAGAGUGGGGGAUAACUAGUCGAAAGAUUAGCUAAUACUGCAUACGAUCUAAGGAUGAAAGUGGGGGUCGCAAGACCUCAUGCUCAUGGAGCGGCCGAUAUCUGAUUAGCUAGUUGGUGGGGUAAAAGCCUACCAAGGCGACGAUCAGUAGCUGGUCUGAGAGGACGACCAGCCACACUGGGACUGAGACACGGCCCAGACUCCUACGGGAGGCAGCAGUGGGGAAUUUUUGGACAAUGGGGGCAACCCUGAUCCAGCAAUGCCGCGUGUGUGAAGAAGGCCUCGGGUUGUAAAGCACUUUUGUCCGGAAAGAAAUCCUCUGGGUUAAUACCCCGGAGGGAUGACGGUACCGGAAGAAUAAGCACCGGCUAACUACGUGCCAGCAGCCGCGGUAAUACGUAGGGUGCAAGCGUUAAUCGGAAUUACUGGGCGUGAAGCGUGCGCAGGCGGUUGUGCAAGACAGAUGUGAAAUCCCCGGGCUUAACCUGGGAACUGCAUUUGUGACUGCACGGCUAGAGUGUGUCAGAGGGGGGUAGAAUUCCACGUGUAGCAGUGAAAUGCGUAGAGAUGUGGAGGAAUACCAAUGGCGAAGGCAGCCUCCUGGCCUAAUACUGACGCUCAUGCUCGAAAGCGUGGGGGAGCAAACAGGAUUAGAUACCCUGGUAG